rnacentral:lncRNA from 1 species
UAAGAAGUAAUAUGUACGUCUUGGCUUGCUUGUAAACCAUAAACAUCAAUGUGAUAGAUAAUUUGGCAAACCAUCAACGUGAAGCUUGCUCAAGGCCAUAAAGGGAUUUUUUAACUUUGCAAAUCAUAUUUUUGGUUCUAGAUUUCCUACAAACUUGGUGGAAGCUGCAUGUAUACCUCUUUAUCUAAGUCUUCAUAAAGAAAAACAUCGUUGAUGUCAAGUUGGUGAAGAUGUCAAAUUCUAAUUAUACAAUAAUUAGGGGUGACAAUGUGUCUUAUCGUGUUGAGGUGAGAAAUAGUGAAAAUUUACUUAAUCCGACUAUGACCCGUUUGAUAAUCGUGUCAAAAUAACCUAACAUGAAUACAAUUAGUUUAUUUCAUGUAACAUGACCCUUUUAACAUGUUUAAUAAAUAUAUUAACUUGGAUUAUGUAUUAAUUGACAUGAAUAACUCAUUAACUUGAUUUCAACCCCUUAAACUCAUUAACACAAUUCCAACCCAAUAAACUCGUUAAUAUGAUUUAACUCAUUAAACUUGUUAAUAGGAUUAUAACCUCUUUAACCUAUUUAAAAUUUUAAAUUUAUAAAUAAUAAAAUACUUCUAGAAAGUUUAAUUUUUAAAAUUUGAACUAUAAUACAUGUAUGCACCAAUUUCAUGAAGUCCUGAAAAAUUAGCAAAAUUAUAGAAAAAUAAUAUAAACAAAAAUUUGUAUUAAAAUUAAUAAGUAUGGGCUACAAUAUUAGUCAUAGUACUGCUUAUUUCUGAAUGACUUUAUUAAAAAGCGAAGAAUACAUGUGUAGUUCUUAUGUGAUUUCUUAAACUUGUAAGGCGAUUUUAUAAAGUUUUUUUUUUCUUUGUGAAACCUCUUUUUCUAUGUGAAAUUGUUUUGCCGAUUUGAAAUCUUCAUUAAAGGAAGUUACUAUUAUUUAUAAUUGAAAUUAGAGAAUGAAAUGUGGAAUCCCCAUGAUUUAGUUGCUUAAUUCAAGGAAUUUGAUUAAUUGAUUUUGGUAACUUGUCUCAUAAAAUUUUCUAACAAGAAUAUUUAUUUUUAAUCUCUUUUAUUUCAAUUGGAAUAUUUGUUUCCUUUGUAAAUUUGUCAAUAGAAUAUUUAUUUAUUUAUUUAAUUCUCUUUUGACUACAAUGAGAAGAUUUGAUUUUGUUUGUAAGACUAAAUUUUAUAACCUUUCAAAUUUGGCCAAGUGACACCUUUUGAAUAUAUGUCACAUGUCAAAUGUGUGUGACUCAUUAGUUGUUGAACCUAAAUUUUCUUGAAUUAGAAAGCUAUACUUUUGAAGACUAAUUUAGUGAUAAUUUAAUUCAUUAAAUUUUUUUGGUGUCUACAGUAUAUUUAUAAUAUGAAAAGUAAAUUAAAAUUUUAAUUUUUUUACUUGUUUAUUAUUUUAUUUAUUAUUUAAUGAUAAAUAUUUUUAUUCUUUAUUGAAAUAUAUAAAAUUUUAAUUAAUAUUUUAAUUUUUUUAAUUUCUAUAUAUAAAAUAUAUAGAUUUAUAUGGUCUAAUUGAGUCAUUAAAAUAAAUAGGGUAAAUAACUCACACAUAAGUGAUGGAUCAUUCUAACAUGAUUAAAUUAACAAGUUAGAUGAAUUGAGUAGUCAAAUACAAACAUGAUUUGUUUAUUAAAUAAGUUAUAUGAAUUGAUACGAUUAUGACAUCAACUCAAUUAAACUUAACUCAAAUAAGCUUUGUCUUUUAUUUUAAGUUGUCUAGUUGUUCACACAAAUUUUCUCAAAAUAAAGAAAUUAUAUAUAAAAUUGUAAAUUUGAUUAUUUGAGGGGACCAUUUUCAAUACUCUUUUUUAAGUAAUCUGGUGUUUAAUUUUGAAUCAAAGGGGCUUUCAUUAACAAAUAAUAGACUGUAGUUUUCAUAUAAGAAGAAAUCUCAAGCCUUUUUUUCUUGAAGGAAUCUUUAAAUUUUCUUUGAUACUUUAAAAAAUCAAUCUUCUUUGAUUUUUUAAGAAAUCUUUGAAUUUUCUUAAAGUCUUCAAAAAAAAAAAAAAAAAAAAAACUGAGUUUAAGGAAUUUUUUUAAUAACUCUCCAAAUUUCUUUGAUAUUCCAAAGUGUCCUUUAGAAGGGGACAAAUCCUCUAUUUACAGGAUUGAGAGUUUUAUUUUAAUAUUAUCUCUUAAUUUUUAAGAAAUAACUCUCUUAUUUAUGAUAAUUACUAUUUAUUUUAUUUAUCAUAAUUAGUUGCCUAUGAUAAUUAUCAUAAUUAAUUUUUCUAGAGAUAAAUAAUUAUAUAUAUUUAAUUAAUCAUGAUAACUAUAAUAUUUAUUUAAUUUUUUAUUAAAUUAUUUUACAUAACAUAUCAAUAUAUAUUAUUAGUCAAUUAUUAACACCGAAAAUUAAUGAGUUGGCAUAAAAUUUAUCUCUCUAUAAUAGUAUCAAAGCGAGCCUUAAUAAUAACAUUGCUUAUAGUCAAUUUCACAUGCCAACUUUUUACUGGGCAUUGGCGAUUUCAAUUUUGAUAGUCCGGUUAGAAAAAGUAGGUAAAGAUUAUUUGAUGUGGUAGGUCAUUUCUUUCAUAAAGACGAUGGCGGUGAAUUCAUGAGACAGGUGAUAAAGGAGAGAUUCUUUCUUUUGGCUUUGGAAUUUUAAUGAGGUCCUCGAUCCUCAUCCAAAAUACACCUCUCCAAUUAUAAAAAUCUUAUUAAAAAAAAAAAGAUUUGACAUGUGCCUUUCGAACUGCUGGUUUUCUGUUCCAAAAAUGAGAAUGGUUUCAAGUGGAUGAAGGAAGGUGAAGAACCCUUGGUUUUGUUAAGCGAAAAGCCACAUGAUUAAAUAAACAUAAGGCGGCAAAGGCUGAAAAUUUAAAAUUAUACUAAGGAACCCACCCCACAGGGCGACUACACUUUUGGUGAAGCCACGAGAAUGAAAGAUAUCGAAGGUGACACCAAGACAUUAAGCAGCACCAAGGUUUCGAUAUAUUAUAAGAUGGGAUCUUAUGAAAGACGAUCUCUAAUCUCUCUCCAAUCUCUUCUUUAACCUUUUCUUACUUAAAUCCAUUUCCAUGGUAGGGCACAUGUCCAGCUGACCCUACCCCCUCACCUACCUAUACUGCUAUACCCUUUUGUAUAAUUUGAUAUGGAUUGGAAGCCACCCCAACAUCUUUCUAAUUGCUCGUAAAUGUUGAGGUGCCUUUCCAUUUUGAGGCUGCCCUAAUGUGUGGCUGAAGUACGUAGGAAAAAAAAAUUGUGAUACAUGCACUGACGAAUCAAAUCCCAAUGUCAAAUUAUUAGACUCACCUGGUUCUUAAAUUAUUGUGAAUGCCGCUGGCCAUGGAUAAAUGGAAUUAGUGCGUGGCUUAAUGAAAAUUUAUUUUGAAAGGGAUAUUAAUUUGAGAGAAUUUUGGCUGAUACUUGGAGUUGAACGUAAGCAUAUAUGACCUCAUUUCGGGUGUGAUAUUGUGCUUAUAACGAACCUUUCGUUCUUUCCAAUUCCAGUGGGUAUUAAAUAAUUAAAGAAUUCAUGGUUCGAAGGCGAAAGGUAGAAGACCAAAAAGGGAUUACAAAGCCAUCGGCUUGACCAUCCAGAUGCAAUGGAUACAAACUUUGGACUCUAUCGAAAGUUCUUUGGGCACGUGCCCAAGUGUCCUACCCAUAUGAUAAGUUACACGUGGCUAAUUGCGGACCGGUUGCUCGUGCUAAACAGGGUACUUUUUCUACGCAUAUAAGAUGUUUCACUAGUGGGGCUUCACCAUGCAAACUCAUGGAUGAAGACCCUGAGGCCAAGAUGAAGGAACAGAAAGAAGGCGGAGGAGAGGUUCGGUAUCGAGGCGUUCGGAGGCGGCCAUGGGGGAAGUUUGCUGCGGAGAUACGUGACUCGACUAGGCAUGGAGCGCGCGUCUGGCUCGGGACUUUCAAUUCUGCGGAGGAGGCUGCAAGAGCAUAUGACCGAGCUGCUUAUGCCAUGAGGGGUUCCUUGGCGAUUCUCAACUUCCCUAAUGAGUAUCAUACACCCGGCACGGCUAGCUCUUCAGCUUCAUCCUCAAUGCCCGAAGGUGAUCAGCAGGGAAAACAAGUCAUUGAAUUGGAGUACUUGGAUGAUAAGCUGCUAGAGGAUCUUCUCGACUCUGAAGACAAAAAGAACAAGAAAACCUGAAGUUUCUGCUGCCUCGAAUCCCCUGAAAUCUAGUGCUUCAUCGAAAAAAAAUCCCCUCGCUCCUGAUUAACAACAUUUUUAUUUUAGUCAAUGAAUGUGUUCUCGGAUCAUUAUAAGUAUUUCUGCCGAAGUCCAUUGAUUUUUGGAGACUGAAAAAUGUCAGAAAAAUUGGUGCGAACAGGUUUACUCCUUUCUAAAUUAUGCAAUUGAAGUAUUUGGAUUAGUGCGCAGUGUAAACAUCAAGGAAAGCAUGAUCCACUAUUUUAAGGAGCCUAAGUGCUUUCCCCUUUACUCUUUUAGGAUGUCUUUUCAGUGAAGAAAGUUGGGAGACCACCACUUACCCUUUUGAUUGGUAUAUAACUGCCAACUAAUAACUGGACUAACAUUUGGCCCGUCUGGCCCUACUUCUUUGACUUUGUUGUUAAUUUAUAACUUUAUGUGAAGUGGGGGCUGUUUGGGAAUGUGUGAAGCAAGGAUUUGAGCCGACUUCGCCUAAUCUGAUUCUCCAUAAGUGACUUCAUUUUAUCAUAUUGGUGUUUUUUUUCUUCUUCUUUUUAAAUGGCUGGGGAGGAGGGGAUUUGGGAGGGAUGCAAUGCCAUGGUUGCAUGCUGGAUUAUCCUUCCAAAUGAAACAUCCAUUUGGUUUCUAGUAACUAAUUGCAAACAAUUAAAGAGAAUAAAAUUUUAAGAUGAUUAAACAAUAAGUACCUAUGUCCAUGAAAAGGAGAGAAGUUCACUCAUGGGUGUUCAUGAAAGACAUCACAAAGAACCAUCAAUAUGAGAAGAAUCCUGAUACAAUUAACUUUCAUGCAUAAGAAAAGACGCUCAAAAAAGAAUAAUGCUUACAAGGAAAGAAUCUCACUACGAUCAACUGAAAAAAUAUUCCAAUUUAAUUGGAAAUCCUUACAUGGGAAGAAUAUCAAUAAAAUCAACUAAAAAAAUAUUUUAAUUUUAUAUCAAAAUAUUUGUGAUUUAACCCGUAUCAUUUCAUCAUGACUUCUUAUAAAUUUUGUUCCUUUUUAUCAACACCACCCCUUGAGUUGGAGCAUAAAUAUUUAUUAAGCUAACUUGAACAAGAUCUUGAGAAAUUUUGUCGCAGGAUUUGUUUGCACUUUUUUUUUUCAAAUAAAGUCAUAAUUAACUUUAAUAUGUUUAAUCAUUUCAUGAAAUACUAGAUUUUAAGCAAUGUUGAUAGCAUACUUAUGCCUGAAAGCUUUAUCCCAAAUCACAUGAGUACAUGAAGUGAUUGCAUCAUUAAUGGUAGUAUUAUUACUUUAUAUUCAACUUCUCCACUUGAUAGGAUGCAUGAAAGCAUUGUGCUUUCUUCUGUUUCAAGUAAUAAAGAUUAUCACCAAGAAAGGUGCAAUUAAUACCUAGUAACAGAGUACCUAGUGGUAGCAUGCACCUAUCCACUGAACUUGUACUCGACUCUAUGAGUGUACGUUACAUAGUCCUUUUUUCGAAGUCUAAAUGUCCCUUGAUAAAACCUUCUAAUAUUUGAGGUUUUGGUAACAUUCAUGUAUCAAUGAACAAAUUAAUUUACUAGCUAAACUUUAAAAUUAGGCAAUGUUUUUCAAUGGGUGAUCAAGAUCUUGGAAUUUUCAAUGUUGUUUGAAUAGCUUCCACACACAAGCAUAUUUUCUCCUAUUUAGGAAUAAUCCCUUUUUUGAAGGUGUGAUCUUUAUGCUCAAAAAAUAAAGAUACUCAAAAAUUUAAUAUUGACCUUCUCGUGAAGGAAAAGCUUUAUAACUAAUUUUUUUUGUGCAUUAUAUAUAUCCUCAAUAUAGACUUUAAAAAAAAAAGAAGUAACUCCCUCUACAAAGAGUGAAGAGUCAAUUAAACUUUUUUUUUUUUAAAAAAAAGGAACCAAUUACUCGUAAAAGUAAUGAUUAUUUUUACAUACCAAACUUGAGGAGAUUACUUAAGAUCACAAAAGUUUUUAUUAAAUUGCAAGCUAGAUGCAUUUGAAACGAUCGUUGAUGUCUUAGCAACACCUUAUGUAACUCAUCAAUCUUUAUGUAAAAAUGCAUUUUUAACACCCAUAUAAAAUAAUGAUCAAUCCUAAUUUAAUAGAAACAAAUGGUAAUACAUGAAUAUCAUUCAUAUUAAUGAGAAAAGUAAAUAUUGAUUUAUAAUCAACUUCUUAAGUUUGUGUCAAUGCCUUAAUCAUUAGUUUAACUUUGUCAUUCAAUGAUACCAUCAUUACGACAUUUAAUUAACUUAGAUUUGCGUAAAUCCCUUAAUCACUAGUCUAGCUUUAUGUCAUUCAAUGGUACCAUCAUUAUGGUAUUUAAUUGAUCUUAUACCCCCAAUUUGUAUACCCCAUGUUUUUCUUAAUUUACCAUACAUCACUUAACAAUGUUCCAUGCAUGGAUUUUGUUAAGUGCCUUAAGUUCCUUUUGCAUAGCCUUUCUCCAAAUUGGAUGAGGAUUGGCUUCAUUAAUGUCAUUAGACUCAUGAUAUAUGGAACUCAAACAAUUGUUAAGUGAUUUUGUAUAUAUAUAAAAAAAAAAUUGUAAUUAAUGUGGUAGGCAUAAAAAUCUCACAAAUGAGGAUUGAUUAAUUGUUAUAAUUGAGCAACAUGCUUGAGGCUUAGUCACAAUACUAGAACUUGAAGUCAGACAUUCUCUUCAAAUAAGGACGUAUAUACAUUAUAUUGGAUCUCCAUUAAACAAGUAAAGAACUAUUUAGUAGACAAUGAAACCUCAUUGAUCAAUGGUGGUAGAGAGACACAUGAUGACCAGACUAUUCCCCUGGAAAUGAGAAUAAAAAAUAUCAUUAGCCGCAAAAAUCUCAAAAAAAUUUAGAUAAUGGGAUAUAAAGAGUUUAUGAAUUUUACAAUCAUAACUCUUAUACUGGUUUAAGUGGUAGAGUAAUCAAGAACACAAAACGAGUUUGAUGAGUGGUUGAGAUAUGAACAAAGCAAAGAUUUCCAAAGACACCAAAAUCAGAAAUCUCAAUUUUUGGGCUAAGGAUUUCAAGAAGAAAUUUAAAAUUAACUACAUGACUAGAAAAUUUGUUCAUCAAGGAAAUAGAAGUAACGAUAUCAUAACAUCAUAAUUAAUCAAUAUUUUUAAUAACAUGCAUUUGGAACAUGAUAUACCGGCUUUCUAAUAAUCAAUGAUUUUUGGUUCAACCACACCAUUUUGUUUUGGGAUGCCAAUACAACAAGUUUAACGAANNNNNNNNNNNNNNNNNNNNNNNNNNNNNNNNNNNNNNNNNNNNNNNNNNNNNNNNNNNNNNNNNNNNNNNNNNNNNNNNNNNNNNNNNNNNNNNNNNNNAUGUAAGUGCCAAAUUAGGUAGUGUCGACAAUGAAAUGGAAAUUUUGGAAUAUAGAAACAACCUCAUUUUUAUGUUCUAAUAAGUAAACCUAUGUAGCAUAAGAAUAGUCAUUAAAAAAAAAGGUAACAAAAUGUUGAUUUCCAUCCUAUGGAUCAAUUAGGACACAACCCCAAGGUAAACUAAUUUGAAAGUUGCAACAAAAAUGGAAAGAGAUGAAAAAAUAAUAGAGGAAUUUAAGGUUGUUUCAAAAUUUCAAGACAUGCUAAGAAACACAUGAGAUUAUAGAUGAUUAGGUAACAACCUUGGUUAAGUAUAUUCAACAUAUAUAUCCCACGAGGAUAAAUAUCUUCACUAAACUUUUCCUAUUAUUCAAUCCCCUAAUACCAUACAAGUGAAAAAUUAAUGUCACGGUCAAAAAUUUUAAUAAGCUUCCAAAGAGAUAAUAAUUUUGGGGAAAAAAACAACCUAAGAAACCUAUGAAUUGAGAUAAUUUAGGAAAAAACUAAAUGUUCGUUAGCUCUAGAAGGGAAUUGAAGCUCAUCAUCAAUAAAGAUUGUUGCUAUCUCGAAUAAUAUCAAGUAAACCAUUAAGAUCGCUAUUAAUGGUAUGAUUAGCAGCACCAAUUAUCGACAAAAAAAUUAUUAAAAAUAUAAGAAAUGAGAGCUUUAAGAUUAUCUAAUUGAUUUGUAAACCUAGGUAAGUGAAUCAGUAUUACGUUUUGUUAAGGAAGCUUAGAUCCAAUUGGUAUCAUUCACCAAGUUAUUGGAUUAAAUUACACUAUCAAACUUUGGCUUUAAAUGAGAAUGAAGAAUCUAACCACAAUCCUUAUUGGGAUUAGAUAUGUUAUUGCAAUAAUGUUUACAAUCGGAUGAGUGCUAAUUUCUAUUGAAAUCAUGAAGCAAUCUCUGAUCAUUGGUCUUCUUUGUAGAAACAUGAGCAUUGAAUUUAAAAUUAAUAAUUGUUACUUGGGAUUCAACCUUCAUAAUCAUUGCCUGGGUUUCCUAAUCACUUUCAAGAAUUACUUAUAUAGUGAAGGCACUCGAAACUAAUCAAAUUUGUCCUCUUAUAAAGUUGUCAUAUUCAAGCUUCAGAAUAGCCAAUAAUUGAAAAACUUAUCAUACUCCGCAAUUUGUUGAAGAAUAUUUGGGUCUAUUGAAGGGGACAAUAUAGGGAAUAUUUGUCCCAUAUGCUCAAAAUGUUCAAUUAACAAAGUGUUCUGUAUGUUUAGGGAUUUGUUAGCUUUAAUUACACAAAACAUUAGCAGUUUUAGAGAAAAUUAAUUUUUUUUUGCAAUCUUAGGUUCCAUGAAAUUAAAAAGCCAAUAACAAGUCAAUAUGGCUUGAGACCCAGUCAUCAUAUUCAAAGUCAUCCAACUUAGAAGCAUUCAUUUUGCCACUAACAUGUGCUAAUUUCCAUUUUCUAUCUUUCAAGAGAAAAAGACUGCUCUUAACCAUGGCAAAUAAUUGAACCCAUUAAGAAGAUUGAGGAAAGUAUCAUAUGAGGGUUGUCAUUUUCCUCCAUGACAAAGAAAAAGCAACAGAGAAAAACUCAUAAUAUUAGAAAGAGAAUGAAAGAAAUUGAGUCAUAGAUACACACAGAAGAAUCCAAAAAUAAAGCAAUAAUACAACCACAAAUAUGAGAAGAAGCUCAAUUACAAAGAAAGGAACUCAAUACAAUCAACUAAAAAGCGUUCCGAAGUUCAUACGAAAAUAUUCAUAAUGUGAAGAUCAUUUCAUGAUUCCUACAAUUUCUUCCUUCUACCAGUCCACUCCAUACAAGGUUUGAUCAACAACUUCUUCAUUGAUUUUCUGGUCUCUCUCCGGUGUAUCAUAGAGCAUUUUUGACAUGUUUCUGCAAGAUACACUUGUUAACUUUAAGCGACAUAAGUGCAAAAAAAUAAGAUCAUGUUGUAUUGCCUGUGCUUCCACUCUGCCUUGUUUAGUACUAUUAUGGAGCAGUACUUCCAUAUAGAACCAGUGAUCUCCAGUUCAUUAUGUUGCCUUCUUUAAACUAACUUUAAUUAUCUAUACAUAUAAAACAAAGUGGUCCCAUCAAGGGGCUAAAUCAAGAAUCAAGUGGGGCGAACAGGAAACAGUGGCAUCAAUUUUUAAGUCCAUAAGCUUUAAUAAAAGGAAUAAAACCAAGGAUAUGAAUAUGUUAUUUUUUCAUUUGUUCAUGCACUGGAAGAUCUUUCCUCUUCAAGCAUUGAACCAGCAUCCUUCUGUGCAAGUUGCUGUCGGAACCUUCUAUAAUUGUCAGAAGUCUGUUUCUGAAAUAUACAGAUAAAACUUUUAGCAAGUCUUGACAUUGCUCAUCACUAGGACAUUGUACUAGGAUACCAAUUCAUCUAAUUAGGGUUAAGUUGGCAUCUCGUACACUAUUUUUUAUUUUUCCUUCAUCUUUUGUUCCCAUUUGCAGUGGAAGUGGCACUUAGAAUAUCUGAUCAUGAAGAAUUAGCUUUCGGUGAGAUGAUACUAGGUCAAUUGCCAUUAUCUUUUUGAGUUACUGUGCGAGCAAUCUUGAAAAUAUUUUGGGAUAAAUAGAAUUUGUGCUUAUCAUAAACAUGCUAAACAUCCAAAUCAAGUGCUUUUACUAUUGAUAUCAAAUCAGUAAUUGAUUUUAACCUUUAUGCUUAUCUUUCAGAUUCUCAAUUAUGUAUCUUGAAUAAUGAUAUUAAGCAGAAAUCAUGAAUUGAAUUGCUUUAAUUAACUGUGCCUUAUCAAGCUUGUCAGCAGUGCUAUUGCUACCGCGAAUCAAAUUCGCUGUGCUUCCCGCCUUCUCCAAAUAAGCCACAAGCCCAAUUAUAUCCGCCCUCCUCCCAUCUCCAAGGGAUCAAAAAAUAAAAUGACUUCAAUCAAUUUUCAAGUUUUCCAUCUUGAUCAGUAGACCACCCGGCAUGAAUGUUACCCUCAGUUUAGGAAUAGGAAUUCCUUUUACUAAUCAUUUGGCACUAAAAACUAUGACCCCUAGCAAUUCAUUCCCUCCAUUAGAUAUCUGGGGGCAUCUUGGCUCAGCCAAAAAUGAUAAGUCAUUGCAUUUCACAUUGCAUUCAUUUGUAUUAAUGAGCUAAUUUUUUUUCACAGAAUGUGAUGUGAAUCGAAUUACUUCCAACCAUGUGUCUCUAUAAGGGUUUAACAAAUGUAAUUUGCAUUGUCUGUACACUUUUUUUUCGGUUUCUUUUCUUUUUUAUGCAUGAUUCAUUAGUCCACGGAUCUUCUAUGCAAAGUGUGCAGGCCAAACACCUCCUUCAAUGCAUUAUUCUAGAAGUUAAGACUCAGUUUACUCCUUAAUUGAUCUGUUCCAUUUACUUCAAAUCAUUUGAUUACAUUAAAUGAAUCUUGAAAUUCAAAAAUGCAUCAAAGUUAAAAGACCUUCCAAUGCAUUAAGAAAUCAUCUGAUACAAAUAUAUGUGAACCUGCAACAACAAUAAUGUCAAAAUGGAAAACUUAGGUAGAAAAUAUUAGAACGGAAACUUACGACGAACUCAAUUUUUGGCGCCUUUCUUCUUCUCAUCUUCUGAUCCAAGAAGCUCUUCCAACACCGUGUCAUCCAAACACUCGAACUCAAUGACUUGCUUUUCUUGCCCAGAAGAGGAACCUCCCAUCUCUAAACUCCUACAAGGCCCAGAAGAUGACGAGGAAGACGAUGAGGAUGGUGAUGGUGGGGGGCGAUGGGAGCCCAUGAUUUCAGAAUAGUACUCAUUAGGAAAGUUAAGAAUGGCAAGAUGACCCCUUAAGUUAAAGGCCGCUCGAUCAUAGGCGCGAGCUGCAUCCUCCGCCCUGUCAAAUGUGCCUAGCCAUAGACGAGCACCUUGCCUAGACGGAUCCCUAAUCUCGGCUGCAAACUUCCCCCAUGGCCUCCUCCUCACCCCUCGGUAUCGAACUUCUUCCUUUUCCUUCCCUUCCUGCUCCUGCUUCUCAUUCCCUUUCGAAUGAUCUUCCAUGCUAAACGUGUCGAUUUGCUAGGCGCAAUUUUUUUGGUUUCAAAUGUGCUGGUUUACGAGAGGCAUGGAUGCUUAUGUAUAUAUAUGGUUGCCACAGUCAGGUCUGACGUCACCGCUCAAUGUAUGUUCCACAGCGUGGGUUGACGAGCUUUCUGAGGGGGUUUCCUCGAAUUCAAAGCAAGUAUAAAAAUUCGAUUCUCCGACCUUUCCAAUGAGGAUCGAACAGGCCUUUUAUUAGAACCGUAUGAUAACUCCACACUGUUUUCAAAUAGUCAAUGUGAUCUAGAUUCUUCGUUAAUUUUUUCCACCUGACUGAUUGUUUACAAUUUUAUUUUUCACCGUCCCAAAUUUAAACCAUUUACGCGAUUCCCUGGAUUGCAUUUUUCUUUAAUGUUGACUUUACGAGGCAAUAGGACCCCCCAGCAACCCCACUAGGGCGACUUCAUGGGAACCAGAUUACUUUUGGAUCCAGAUAUGGUCCAGAAGAAAUAAGACAAAUCAAUUAAUGUCCACUAAAGUUUUGAUGGAACCCUUAGUCCGUGUUUCCUGUGGAUGUAUGUAUUGUAUGCACCUCAAUUUUCACCAAUCCCUGCUACGAGUCCCUUUAAUUUUGACGUUAUAAAUGUUUUUCCUGACAUUAGCAGAGUGUUUUUCUGCCGUCUUUGAGGACCUUCCACGGCCCAUAAACUAAUAAGGAUCGUCCAGUGAAUUUAGUCUUCCCCAGUUAAUUAUCCUGCGAGGGAAACUUGGGCAGUAAGUUGCCUACAUGAGUGGCUCCCGCCUACAUGAGUCAAGGGACCAUACGUCAGGACGACAACCAGUGUGGUCACACCAAAGUGGGUUGCCUGGACUCCAGGGUGGUCGCUUCAAAGUUGUCAAAUGAAGGCUAGCUUGGCAAGUUUUGGAAAACAAUUAUUGAAAAACAUUUUUCAUGAAUAACAGUUUCUAUGAACAGAUUUUAAGAAAGUUUAUUUUGUGAUUUUUAGGAAUAUUUUUAAUUUAAAUUUUUAUAUUUUUAAUUUUUUAUUAAUUUAUUGAUUAUUUAAUAUUAGCUUAAUUAAUGGAUUUUUCUUGGUCCCAAAUUAUUAAUUUAUCAAGAUUUAAUCGCAUCCAUAAUUAGUCUAAUUUCUUUUGGAGUGAGUGUGACAAAGUGCAAAUUUCUAGAGUUUUAUUAAUGUUAUUCAAUGUCAUAAUUUAACUAAUUAUAUUAAUUAUUUAUUAAUCAAAAUAAAUCAUUCACUUGAAAUAUGAUAAUUUAAAUUAAAAGUUUCAAUUAUUUAUUAAUUAGCAAAGUAUGAACUUUUCUUCUUGUUUUAUUAUUGUUAUUCCAUGUAUAUAAUUUAAUUAACUGUUUCCAAUAUUAAUCAAUAAAAAUAGAAUAUAAGCAUGAGAAGAAUUAGUAAAAUUCAUUGAUUUGGAAUUAGAUAGCUAGAGGAAGAACUUCAUCAUCUUCCCAUUACUUAAAUUUGUAUAAAUUCUAAAUAUUUAAACCCCCCCCCCCCCCCCCCCCCCCAAAAAAAAAAAAAAUGGUAAAGAAAGACUCCCCAAGCUUUCUUGGUUGGUGUUACCCUAAAAUUUGUACAAUAAGAUGAACCAUUUGGCUUAAAGCUUGGUGCGAAACCCCUUAUCAAUUGAAAAUAUCAAUGAAGUUGUUGAAUGGUUUUAGAGGACUAUUCUUAUGCAGAGUGGCAUAAGAAGCGAGGAGAUGAAGAGCGGAGAGACGUUAACAUCGGAUGCUGCUACGAAGGUGGGAAUACGGUUAAUUAAUUAGAUUUUGUGAUGGCUUUGAGUUUGAAGGAGUUAGUUUAAUGGGUAUUAUUAGUGAACUGAUAAUUGGAUUUGAUGUAAAGAAGGUUGGUCCAUUGGAUUAGCAAUUGGUUUGGCCUUUUGGGGGCCCCAUUUCCAAAUGCAUUGCCUUUUACAAGCAUUCAACAUCGCUGGACGUAACCAGGCUUGGUUCACCUAAAAGUAUCGCAUGGAUUGAAUUGACUAAGUUUUCAUUGUAGACUAGCCUUGAUUUUCCCUUGACCUGCCCACCAAAUCCUGAUGCCCACGCGAGGGAAUACCUCAAUUUUCUAAUAAUUUAUGCAGUUUCUCUUCAAAGCUCGUGUGAUCACUUGGGUCGGUAAAAUAAUGCAUUCCUCUACUUUUUCUCCCUUCCUAGAUGCAUGUUAUACCAUUAAUUCAAAUGUGAACAUGGGCUUGGCUUUGAAACUUGGUUCAAGGCCCAACAUGUUGACCCACAAUUGAGGUGUAAUUGAAUUUGUACACUUUUCGACUUUGAUACCAUUUGUCAUUACCAUUGACAUUGGGUCAUUGUUGAUUUUGAGUCCACAACUUUUAAGGUUGUUAUUACAAUUUUAAAUUGCGCCCACCCAAUUUAUAUGCAUUAUCCCUUAUAAAUACCGAUAACCUCUCUUUCUUCGAUAAUAUAAAAUGUCACAUAUAUUAUAUAUCUCAAUGUUUUCUUUUACUUUUUUUUUUUUUAUCGAUCGACAUUCUCUCUCAGAUGAUAUGAGAUGUCACAUAUAUUAUAUGUUUCAAUGUUUCUUUUACUUUUUCUCUUUUUCCUCAUGAUUGACAUUGUCUUUCUCAAAUGAUAUGAGUUGUCACAUAUAUUUUAUGUCUCAAUGUUUUCUUUAACUUUUUUUCUCUCUUCUUUAAUGAUCGACGUUCCUUUUCUCAGAUGAUAUGAAAUGUCAUAUAUAUUAUAUGGCUUAAUGUUUUCUUUUACUUAUUCUUUCUUUAUUAAUAAUCGACAUUUUAAGCAAUAUGUGAAUAUAAAGCAUUAAAAUUAUCUCCAUCGUUUUUGGAUGUGGUAUAAAUACACAAUUCUUAUUUUUGUUUUAAAUAUUUCUAUUGCUAUCUAUUGAAAUUUUAUGCAUGAAGCUACCAAGUUAAUUAUACAUAUAUCUUAAGAUUUUUUUUUUUUUUUUUUAUAGGAUAUAUUGUCCAUGAAUAUUUUCUGCAAUGGUAUCUUGUUUGAUUACUAUAAGAAAUAAUAUAUAUAUAUAUAUAUAUAUAUAUAUAUAUAUAUAUAUAUAUAUAUAUAUAUAUUAUAUUUCAAUGUUUCAUAUUUGCUUAAAAUAAAAAUUAUAUUUUAUCACAAUAUUUGGUAUUAAAAAAAAUGAAAUCUCUCUCAUUUAUUAUUACAAAAAAAUUAUAAUUUAUAAUUUUCUAAAUAAGUUUUAUUUAUUUGCUAACUAUAUUCAUGAUUAAAAGAUUUAAAAUUUAUAAAUAAAAAAUAUUAUGUCAUGUCAUUAAAUAAAUAAAAAUAUAUGUAUAUAUUAAAAUUAUGUUUUAUUGUAGCUUUUAAUAUUUUUUUUUUUAUUCUUUUCUUUUUUGAACUACAAUUUUAAUUUUUUUUAAUCAAAAUUUUUUAAUUUACAAAACGAGUAACAUAAAACUUGCCUUUGAACUUUAUUGGAAUGUUAUAUACUACCAUUUGGCUUUCAAGACAUUAGAAAAGGCAUAAGUGUCCCUUUUAUUUUUCCGAAAGGCAUAUUAGACUAUAGUAGGAAGUGUUGUAUAGAGGCAACUAAAAGUUGCCUUUAACUUUAUGAAGUCAUAUACUCCUCUUUGGCUUUGAUGACAUCAACUAGCAAAUUGGAUUUUGUUUCCUUUGCAACAUUUUUCCAUCCAUUAGCCAGUUUUUUUAUACUGUUUGGUGCUUGCCAACAUGGCACACACUAUGGUUCUUAAAAAGUAUUUUUUUUUUUAAGAUACUACGAAAUAAAAUACACGAUUGAAAGAUGAGUCACAAUAAUUUUCAAAACUAAAUUUUUUAAUAUUGUUAAGAAAAUUUGACCACCAAAUGAUUGAUUUUAAAUUACAAAUACUUUUGUUAGCUAAGAAAUUUGUUGUUCUAUUUGUUUCCCUAUAAAUAUGACAACAAUCAUAAAUAUUUUCAUUUUAAGAUAAUUUUCAAAUAUCUUCCAUUAAUAAUAUAAUAGAAUUAGGAAUUUUUUUUUUAGUUAUAACAAUCUAUAAUUAUUUAAGAGUCUUCCUCAAUCUCUAGGUUUAAGAACUUAUUGUUCUUAACAACUAACAUGUCAUCUCUUAAAAUAAUACAUUCUGCAAUAAUUAUUGAAAUAUGAUAUAAUAUAUAUAUCUACUUACAACCAUUUUUGUAGUACCAUUAGAAUUUUUAAUUACCCAUUCUAAAGUAUUUUUAUUCUCUAUUCUUAAACCAUCAAAAUUUAAUUUAAAUCUUUCAUUAAUUGGAUAAAUCCAAUGAAUCUAACAAGUUAAAGGAUUAUGAAUCCGACAAAACAGUUGAUAAUAAAUUAAUAAUGCCAUUAAUAUGAUUUUAAUGUGAAACACAAUUAUCACAUUUAAUACAGUUAGUCCUUGUAUGAUUAAUGUUUUGGAAGCUAAAAUCAAUCUUUUGACUAUAAUAAGAGUUUCUACUAUUUCUAUUUUUGGAUGAUUUUAUAUUUUUCUUAUUGUUUUAGUUUAAUACAAAAAAUAAAAAUAAAAUUACAUUAGUAGAAUUUUUUUAACUUACUCAAAAACCUAUUUUAGUUGAAUGAUUUUUUUAAAAAAAAUAUAAAUAUUUUGUUAAAAGGGAUAAAAUAACCUUACCUUGUGAAAAAGACCUCUUCACCCAAGAUUACUUGUUCAUAAUCCUUUUAAGACGAAAAUGCCCCCUUCCUAAAAAAUAUUUCAUCUUAAACUUAUUUUUCUUUUUAUUGCCCUUUGUUCCAUCCUUCCGGCUUGGGAGAGAAAUUCAUUCUUCUUUUGCGAAGAAAAAUUCCUAUUGCGAUUUUUCAUUUCAAGUGGAAAAAAAAAUUCUUAUUUCAUUUUAAAGAAAUUGUACAUUUUCAAUCUUUCUCUUUGUUCCUAGUUGAGGGUUUUUUUUGUAAUUUUAUCUUAACACUACAAAUUUAAAGGUGAGAUUAAAUCUUAAUGGUUAUUAGUUAAAUCACAUAUCUAACUUUGUUUUUGUCAGGACCUAUAAUAUGAUUGGAACCACCAUCCAAACUUCAUUAGGUGGGAUACUCCCCACCCUCCCCCUCCCCCCGCGAAAUCCUUGGAUUUUAGUUUUGACUUGGAUUUCAAUUGCCCGUAUCAAUUUUUCUUUAUUUAUUAAUUUAUUAAUUUUCAACUUUAACAAAAGCCUUGAAUCAUAUUUAAAUUCAAAUAACUUAAUCCUAAUUAAGUUCUUUUUAAAUAAAAAUUAAUCAUUGAAAAGUUCAUGUGACUAUUAUAAUUGAGAAUUUAUCCCAAGUUGGGUUUUUUGCAAAUAAAAUUUUAUUAUAGGACAUCAUGAUGCAACAUAACAUAAGGUUGUUACUUAAGUUUGUUUUGACCUUGUAAUAUGUUAAAAUGAAAAUGAAGCCAUUGUAACAGGAGAGAAUGAUGAAGCUGUGGAGAGAGCUUAACAAAGCUUGGGUUGGAGAGACUUCACAGGAAGAGAGAGAGAGAAAUAAAGGGUAAAAUUAUCAAAAGAGAAAAGAAAAAAAAAAAAAAAAAAGAAGGUUAUGUCUUCAAAUAAUCAAUAAGAGAUGUCAUUUUUCUAAUUUUCAAAGUUCUUUUGGUCCUUCUCUACAAAUAUCCCUAUAAAAAUAUUAUAAUAUCAAGUUAAUUUGUCAAUACCAAAAUUUAUAUUUUAUAUUAGGGCGACUAAAUAACAUAUAGAAAGAAUUUUAAAUGAGUAAAUCAAAUCAAUUUUGAAACCAAAACUUAAUAAUUACCAAACUUGUAAUCUUAGUCAUUAAAAGUGUACGAUGAAAUCUAAAUUAUUAAGCAAUGAAACAAAAAAUUAAGAUUAAAAUACAAAACGUUAAAAUCAAGAUACAAACUAUUAAAAUGUAAGUGGGAUAUGAGAUGAUAUUAUAAAAAAUAGUGUGAUCCAACAAAAAGUCUAGUACAUCAUUAUCUUCACUUCCAACCAUGUUUAAAAGGUCACAAGUUCUAGCGGUUUCCAAGGACAAUGUUAAAAAUAAUAAAAAUAAAUCCAAUUAAAUAUUAAUUAAUUUAUUUGAAUUUGAGUCCGACAAAAUAGUUGGUAAUAAGUUAAUAAUGCCAUUAAUAUGAUUUUAAUGUGAAACACAAUUAUCACAUUUAAUACCCGUUAGUCCUUGUAUGAUUAACUUUUUAGAAAUUAAUAUCAAUCUUUUGAUUAUAAUAAGAGUUUCUACUAUUUAUAUUUUUGGAUGAUUUUAUAUUUUUCUUAUUGUUUUAGUUUAAUACAAAAAAAUAAAAAUAAAAUUACAUUAGUAGAAUUUUUUUUAACUUAUUCAAAAAACCUAUUGUAAGGUGAAUGGUUUUUUUAUUUUUUUUUUAAAUAUAAAUAUUUUCUUAAAAGGGAUAAAAUAACCUUACCUUGUGAAAAAAGGCCUCUUCACCCAAAUUUACUUGUGCAUAAUCCUUUUCAGACGAAAAUGCCCCCUUCCUAAAAAAUAUUUCAUCUUAAACUUAUUUUUCAUUUUUAUAACCCUUUGUUCCAUCCUUAUGAUUUGGGAGAGGAAGUCAUUCUUCUCUUGUGAAGAAAAAAUUCCUACUGCCAUUUUUCAUUUCAAGUGAAGAAAAAUAUUUAUAUUUCAUUUUAAACAAAUUGUACAUUUUCAAUCUCUCUUUGUUCCUAGUUGAGGUUUUUUUUUUUUUUUUUUUUUUUUGUAAUUUUAUCUUAAUUGUACAAAUUCGAAGAUGAGAUUAAAUCUAUAAUGGUUAUUGGUUAAAUCACUUAUCUAACUUUGUUCUUGACAGAUCGUAUAAUAUGAUUGGAACCACCAUCCUAACUUUAUUAGGUGGGAUCCCUUUUUUUUUUUCCCCAAACCCUUGGAUUUUAGUUUUGACUUAUAUUUCAAUUGUCUGUAUCACUUUUUCUUUAUUUAUUAAUUUUCAACAAGUUCUUUAACAAAAGCCUUGAAUCAUAUUUAAAUUCAAAUAACUUAAUCCCCAUUAAGUUCUUUUUAAAUGAAACUUAAUCAUGUGAAAGUUCAUGUGACUAUUAUAAUUGAGAAUUUAUUCUUAGUUGGGUUUUUUGUAAAUAAAAUUUAGUUAUAGGACUGUGAUGAUCCGUUCUCAACCGUAUAAAUAUUGUUCGUUUUGAAUUCAAAAUAACUUUUACGGCUUUAAAACAUGUUUACAAGAUUAAGAGGAGUCCAUAUUUAUAUAGCUUCACGAACUUUCCCCCCUAUUCGAUGUGGGAUGUCACAAGGACAUCAUGAUGCAACGUAUAACAUAAGAUUGUUUCUUAAGUUUGUCUAACCUUGUAAUGUGUUAAAAUGAAGAUGAAGCCAUUAUAACAGAAGAGAAUGAUGAAGUUGUAGAGAGAGCUUAACAAAGCUUGGGUUGGAGAGACUUCAUAGGAAGAGAGAGAGAGAGAGAGAGAGAAAUAAAGGGUAAAAUUAUCAAAAAAGAAAAAAGAAAAAAAAGAGGGUGAUGUCUCCAAAUAAUCAAUAAGAGAUGUCAUUUUUCUAAUUUCAAAGUUCUUCUGGCCCUUCUCUACAAAUAUCCCUAUAAAAACAUUAUAAUAUCAAGUUAAUUUGUUGAUACCAAAAUUUAUAUAUUAUAUUAGGAUGACUAAAUAACAUAUAGAAAGAAUUUUAAAUGAGUAAAUCAAAUCAAUUUUGAAAUCAAAACUUAAUACCUACCAAACUUGUAAUCUUAGUCAUUUAAAGUGUUCCAUGAAAUCUAAAUUAUUAAGCAGUGAAACAAAAAAUAUAAGAUUAAAAUACAAAACGUUGAAAUCAAGAUUCAAACUAUUAAAACGUAAGUGGAGACGUAAGAUGAUGUCAUAAAAAAUAGUGGGAUCCAACAAAAAGUCUAUUAAUCAUUAUCUUCACUUCCAAUCAUGUUUAAAAGGUCACAAGUUCUAGCGGCUUUCAAGGACGAUGUUAAAAAUAAUAAAAAUAAAUCCAAUUAAAUAUUAAUUAAUUUAUUUGAACAAUAGAUAGGACCAAAAUAAUAUUCUAAAAGGAAUCAUAGGGAAGUCCUUGGACAACCUACGACAUUGAACAAAGGUACAGUGAGACAAUGCACUUAGCCCUUCCUUGUCAUUGCGAUGAAUAUAAAAAGACACCCUGAUUGAGGGUGCCCCACUAAGCCAAGAGUGAUUCUUUUGUAUUGUAUAACGUGAAUAUUUUUGAACUUUGAAUGACCCUUCCUAUAGUCAUCAUUGUCAAAACUAGAAAAUCAGAAAGAUGCGAUGUACGAAGGCACCAUUGAAUAAGAGGCUUAAUUCUCUUUGGCAAUUAGGAUAAAGUUUCAAAAUAGAAAAAUUAAACAAAUGUACAGUGUACGGACACUUGGGCAUUGCCUAUUUGUUUUGUUCUUCUAGAGUUGUAUAUGGUAAAGGUCAUAUUGGGUUGGUUCUAUUUGGUUAUUGAAGUCGGCUAGAAUAUUAGAUUUGGUUUCAAUCUAAUCCCAUAUGAUAUUAGAAUACCAGCCCAUACAGAAUUUUUGACCAAAUAUAAUAUUUCUUUUAAAUAUAAAUAUAGUAAUUAAUUUUAGUCUAAGAUUAAUUAUGUAGUUUCCUAAAGAGACCACUUCCUAAACGGUAGCUAUGUGGAAGUUGGGCCAGGUCCUGCCGAGAAGGUUUCCACGAGCUGAGCCCAAAACUGAGUAGCUGUGAUGGGAUCAUUCUAGCAUUCAGCCUGAAACUUGUAACAUAACGGAUCGAGAGGCCUGAACUCCAAGACCAUGGUUCGUCAGCCCAUUAACUUCAACAGCACGCAUUUUAGAGGACUGGGCUUGCAAGGGGUGAGGUUUCCGGGCCGCGACCCCAAAUAUGAACAGCCUCAGAAGUGAUAUUGCUUACUGGCACGUGAAGAGCGCAAGCGUAACUAGAAGAUUUGUAAUGCCGCUUUAAUUGUUUGAUUAUAGAAUCCCACGCAUUACGCAUGGAAAGUGUAAAAGAUAAAAGAUGUAGAAUUUUUUCUUAGAGAAAAGUUCGUUUGGAUAUAGUUAUUGUUUUUUUUUUAAAUAAUAAUUGUUUUUUUUAUAAAUUAUAGAUAAUCUUAGAAAUUUAUCUUUAAAAAAAUAGUUUUUAAAAAUAUUUAAGGAGAAUAAAAGUGAUAAAAAAAAACUUUACAAUUUCAAAUUUUUAAAAAAUGAAAAUUAUUUUUAAGAAUAUAAGUUAAUCUCCUGCAUUUAAAUCUUAGGUGGUUUUUGUUUUUUUUACUUUUCGCUGAAAACAAUUUGUUUUCAAAAUUUAGGUCAUUUGUUUUUUCUAUUUUUUCAUGAUUUAUUAUAAAUUUUUUACUAAAUAAAAAAAAUCAAAAUAUGUAACUUUUUCUAAAUAAAAAAAAUAACGUAUUGAUUUUUCUUUACUUUUUAAUACUUAAUAGAUAUAAAAUACUACAAAAACAAAAAAUCUAAUAUUUAACACUAUUAAGCAUUAAAGUUCUAUUUAGAAUUAAGUAAAAAAACAAACACCACCUUAUAUUUUAUAUAAAAGUUACUUAUAUUUUGGUUUUUGGAAAUAAAAAAUAUAAAGCAUAUCCAAACAUGAGCUUAGCUAUUUUAAAUCAUAUCAAAAUAAUAAUCCCAAUAAGGUAAAUGGACUUUUAUACGGAGAAUAAUCUUUAAGGUUUUCAUUUUUAUUGGAUUUUUUUUUUGUGGUGUUUUUUCAAUCCAUCUUCUCAAUUAAUUCCUUAAAAUUAUUUUACUGUUUUUUUUUUUUUCAGUUUCUAAAUAUUUGAUUUUUCCAAAAUGCUUAAAUGGAAGACACUAAUUUUUCAAGAUAUUUGGUAUUACAAUUUUCCCUGUUCUCCCUAUUAUCUAUCAGAUUCAUGGCCCUUUUGUUUUUUCAUUGGUUUUCAAUUUAAUUUUCCAAAUAUUACAUUGUUGUGUUUUGAAUUUGUGAAACCAAUUUUAUAUAUAUAUAUAGUAUGUAAGUCUACUUUGGGUAACAUGUACAGAGAGGUUUUCAUGUGUUUGAAACCUUUUACCUCAAAAAUUAAUUAUUUUUAAUUUUAUAAUAAAUCUUUUUUUAUUUUUUAUUUUAUUUAGGAAAGCCUAUAUUUAAACUACAUGUUUGCAACGCAACACCAUACAUACUCCUAGUGGAACUUACCUUAGUGCUUGAGGGGGAUGCAGAUCUUCUUCUAAACCUAACUAAUAAGCAUAAAAUUGUUCACUAAUUAGCAUAUCUAGUAAAUCAUACAAAUUGGCAAUAUUUCAUGUUUUUCAUGUUUUGUCAAUAAAAGGCGUCUUGACCAUUUUGUGAGUUUUGUAAUAAAUAAAAAAAAAAAAAAAAAAAGGGCAAAAGGUGACUAAAAUGAGGCACUUUGGAAAGGUUAAUAACCUAAAAGGAAGAUGAAUUAAUACCCCCUUAUUCCUCUUCAAAAACCAUUGAGAAAAUGCAAGAAAUGCUCUUAGUUGUAUGCUAGGCUAACAGCCUAGCAACCAUAAUACCCUUCUUUGCAAUUGUAAGCAUUUUUUUUUUUUUUUUGAAGGCCAAACAACGUUGCAAACUUCCCAAAUCCCUUCUUUAUUUUUUAUUUUUUUAUUUUUGUUUUUAGAAGGAGAAUGAAUUUGAUGACAAACUCCUUGUCAAUCUUAUCCAAACCACGAUCGAACAGAACUCCUUGUCAAUCUUAUCCAAACCGUGUUCCACCUCAAAAACAUGUGUAGGACUUAAGGCAGCAACUGGCAAGCAUGACUGAUAGGGCCAAGUGCCCUUGUCUCUACAAUCCAUUAAGUUAACCAAGGGCAGUGAACCAUCAUUCUUUUCAAAAGCUUCAUUCCGUGUUGAAAAUGUGAGACUGAAGCAUGGUGCCCCCAAAAAUAACGAUCUAUUUACUAGCAGCAUGCCUGGACCCAUUAAAAAUACUCUACUUUAGGAAUAGAAAAAAUUACAUCUUUAUCCAAUAAUUUUAUAACAAUUCAGACGUUUCAGUCUAUAAAUAAUUGUACAUAGUUGCCAACGUUUAGCUAGUUUCAAAUGAAUAGCCUAGGUUCAUGCACCAGUUUGGCUGGUGGAGGAAAGGGAUUCGAGACAUUGAACCCUCUUUUUAGUGUGCCAAAUAUUCCACAAAAAUCACUACCUUCUCUUUGUGUUUGUUCACUUUUAGUUUAUAUUUAAUAAAUCUAUGUUUUCGAGUAGAGGUUGGGUUCAGGUGCGACCCACGUCACCUCUCGGACGGUCUUGAAAAAGGAGACCGGACCACGUAAUUUCAAAUGUAGUGACCAUCUCACUUUUACCUCCAUCCUUGAAGAUGGUUUCCCAAAUCAAUAUUAAUCUUUUGUUUACGACAAUAUCGAUCACUUUAUGUCUAUAUCGUUGUUAAUUUACCUUUUUUUUUUAGCCACAUUAUUUGAAAAUUGAUGCAAACUUUACCAACAUCUUGGUACCAUUUUAAAAUAUUAGAGUUAUUUGAUUAAAAAAAUAAAAUAAUCUCGAUAACUUGUUUAUAAAAUAAAUAUCUUUUAACAUUUAGACUAUUCUCACGCAUGCUUUAAAAUUGUAAAGAUAUUCAUAAAGUGGAACUUUAGACUUAAUCAAUAUCGAUCACUUUAUGUCUCUAUUGUUGUUAUAUUUUUUUUUUACAACAUUAUUUGAAAAUUGAUGCAAACUUUACCAACAUCCUAAUACCAUUUUAAAAUAUUAGAGUUAUUUGAUUAAAAAAAUAAAAUAAUCCCGACAACUUGUUUAUAAAAUAAAUAUCUUUUAAUAUUUAGACUAUUUUCACCAUGCUUUAAAAUCAUAAAGAUAUUUAUAUUCAUAAAGUGGAACUUUAGACUUAAACAUGAUAAUAGUUUUUUUACAAUAUUAUAAUUAUUUUAUCGUUUUAAUUAAGCCCUUUAUCAUACAUAUAAAUGUAAAUUAAUGCUAAAUUUUUAAAGCAACGUAUAACCUUUUACAUCUUUUUUUAAGAUGGUGCGAAAAUCCUAUGAAAAAUAAUAAAAGUCGAUGCAUAAGAAGAUUGUUUUGAUAAUUCAAUAGAAAAAUUCUUUUAAAAUGAUAUUAAAAAAUACCCAUAGAGCCUUUAUUAAAAAAAUCAAUUAUUUUCAUAAUAAAAAUUAUAAUUUUUUAUUAUGUAUUAUUAUUUUUAAGUAUCUUUAUUACAAAUACUUUUUUUGAGUUUAUGAGAGGAAUCAACAGGUUGGUACAAGCUUAGGCGUCCUCGUACAUGUUCCCGCUGUGCAAGGUUUUUGUCUUGUUUCGAGCUAGUCGGAAUUUACGUGUUUGAUAACGUUUUGUCCUAUUUUUGUAACGCUUUAAAGGGCGGCCCACCGUUGGAACAGUUCAAGCCAUCCAAAUCAGCCCGGAGGGUUAUGGCGACGUGGCAUGACGCCUACCACCUUAGUUCACAUGAACCCUAUGAUCGUACUACCCUCACAUGACAUCUGUGAUUCUUCACCUCCAAACCCUCUUUAACUUGGUAAUGUAUUCAAAGCUUCAUCAAAUCAUAGCGAUUAGCGACCCUCUUCCACCCUAAUUUUAUAAUAAAAAAUAAAUCUUAGUGGACAUUAAAGUAGUAUUUUGUGGGGGGAAAGAAAAACUCUAUGGGCGUAUCCACUAAAUACGAGCCAAGUAUAAGAGUUAUCACCAUGGAAUCAAAUUAUGAAGCAUUGACAUUUUAAUUGUAUUCAGAUUUGAGGAGGGCACCGCGGCACCAGCUGGCCCAGUGUAGUCUGCUAGCCUACCCGCCAUAAUGACCAAAUUAAUAAAGUAAAAAGGAUUACAGGGAUAUUCCCAACUUUAUUCUGGGUCUGAGCUGGAACUUGGGAGUUAUCACGAUCAACGGGAAAGAUGGUGGGUAGGGGACGAGGAUUGAGGGCUCCAUAUUCACAUCAGUGAAAAACGAAAUGUAUUGAGACAAGUCUUCUAAGGAUUUUCUAGCGUAUUAUAUGGUUUAAAUGAUUAUAAAUCUGUAGUUACUGGUAAAGAGUAGAGAGUGAAGACGAAAGACGUUGAGUGAAAAGGAAGGAGGAGAGGGGAUGGGGCCAUCUUACCGUGUCGGGGAGGAUCCAUAAAAGGACUACGUUCCCUGAAUCUGUAGGCAUCAUGCCUCGCCUAACGGGUUAGUCAAAAUACAGUGAUGUGUGUGAGUUGGGGGCCUCACUCCUCAUUUCUUUCCUUCUUUUCACCCCCACCCCCACUUUUUUUUUUUUUUUUUCGAAUUUUUCUUUGUCCUUUUCUCUCACUUGCGCACGCGGGAGAAGGACCACAAACUAGACAAUUCCUCUGCUCACGUGACCCCGAGUUUUUAAAUAUUUGCCUAUUUGGAAAAUAGUCAUGAAUCAUGAUCGUUAACAAACAAUCUUCACUUUAUUUAUUUAAGAUCUAUUUUUUGGAGCUCUAGUUUAGUUUAUUAUUAUUAUUAUUAUUAUUAUUAUUAUUAUUAUUAUUAUUUAGUAACUCCUCUUAUAUUAAUGAAAAAGAGAGGAGGAAUCCAAACUUGUUUAUUCUUCCUCUUUUAAGGUGUUUGUUUUUUUUAUUUUAUUUUUAUGCUUCAUAUGUCUUCAAUUUCUUAGCAUUUGUCUUAUAUUUCUUCUUAUCCGAUUCAUUAUUGCAUCCUUGGUCAAUCUUUCACGAGGAGUGCCUACUUUUUUCCUUUUUAUUAUUUAAUUCACUUUAUCUUUAUAUUUUCCUUUUACACUUUAUUUCCAAUUCAAAACGUGUCAAAAAAAAAAAUUGGUAACAAAAAAAAAAAAAAAAAUCAAUUGUAAUGAUUCUUAUAUAAUUUUAUUUAAUUUUUAUUAAACAAUAAAGAAAUUAAAAAUAUAUAAAUUUUUAAAUAAUUAUUAUAGUCUUUCAUUUUUGUGUAUAAUUUCUUUUGCAAGAAAUAGUGUAGGCUUUCCACGGUCUAAAGGAAAUGGAAUAUCAAAUGAGAAGGUAAUAAUAAUAAAGUGAGUUAUAGAUACUAAUCAAACUAAUCCACUAAUGAAUUAUUUAUUUUUAUUUCACAUGGACAAAUCCUAAAAGUUGGAGUUCUAAUUUACUUUUAUGUUAAGCUUUUUUAAGUAAAAAUCUUUUAUUAUUAUAAUUUAUAGACAAAAAGAAACCCAUUAAUGUGAUGGAUAAAAAAUUUCAAUUUAAAAAAAAAAAAAUUAAAGUUGCUAAAUUUUUGUAUUUAUUAUUUCAAACUCAUUUAAAUAAUUUAAAAAUAUGUCUUCAAUUAAUUUUAAUGAAACAAAGCAUGAUUUUUUUUUAAUUUUUUUUUCUUUACCAAAUAAAGCAUUAUUAUAAUACGUUGAUUAAAUUUUCAUCAUGUCUCUCAAGAUUUGGAUUAAAUAUACUUAGUUGUCAUAAAUUUGAAAUUUUAUUUAAUGUAUUUUUUAUUUUAAAUUAAAAAGAUGAAUGCAAAUAAAAAAAAUAUGUAUAUUUUAUAAAAUUUUAAAUUAAACGAAGGAUACGUGUAUUUAACCAAGGUGAAUGAAAUUAAUCCAAAUACUUUUUGGUAACUUGCAAAAUAUCUUGACGAAAUCAUUAUGGCAGGCAUCGUACAAGCUCAACCCUUGUCGCCUUGCUAGAAAUAGAGAAACAAAAAGACCCCCAAAUUGGGUUGCAUCCUAAAUAUGAAGAAGUGGUAACAAAGGAAGAAAAAAUGCUGUGUUAUUGAAUAGUUAAUACAUUGAACAUGAUAUGUUACAUAGAGAGCCAGAUUAAUCCUAGUGGAAUUCCACUGUCACGAUGGUAACCUAGGGUUAUGUUUGGUUAUUGAAAAUACCAAGAAAAGAAAAAAAAAUAUAAAGGAAAAUAAUUUUUUCAUUUUUGAUUGUCUUAUAAAAGAUAUAAAAAAAAAACAAAUAUAAUUAAAACUAAUUAAAAAUUUAGGUAUUUUUAAAUUAUUUAAUUUUUAUAUUAAUGAGCGAAAAUAAAUAAAAUAAGUUUAAAAUAACAAAAAAAAUAAUUUACCGAUUUUUAAUCUAUAUUUUAUUUUACUUUUUCUUUGUAUUUUUUUUUUCUUAUAUUUUCCCUCAAAUUUUCUGAAUCAAACAUAGCAAAAAAGGAGCUACCCCUUUCGAAAGAAACUCCCAAGAAUUUCAAAGAAACCUGCUGAGAUAAUGAAUGAGGGAUCACUGUCGGUAAACAGUAUCCAUUCUUUUGGGAGGACUUUCAAACUGAGAAGUUGUUUUCAUGACUUGGAAACAAAAUUUUGAGCUCUAAGGGGGUCUGUAUUUGGGCCCUAAAAUUCAAUCCAUCAAUCUGAAAAAUGCUUAGGAUAAUGAUUUGAUUUAGCCACAAUCACUAAACAAAUUCCAGAGGAAAAUUUCGCUACUCAUAGGUGGCUGAUUCUCAUAAAAAGACAUCGUGGUAGGGUGUCUCAAGUGCAGGCUCACCAUCAACUUGCUGCCCUUUUUAGAUUAUUGUAAAAUGAUUUCACAUGAAGCCCAAUGCAAAACUUUGAAAGAAAAGGUUGGUGGAGACGUGAAGAAUAUGUAACCCAUAGGCCAUAACUAGUACCGAAGAUUAUUGAACAAACAUUCAAGGUUUUUGUAUAGACGAAACUGAAAAGAAUGUGUACCAGACUCAGGCGUUCAGAUCAGAUGAUGCCGUAAUGUGGAUUGUGGAGGAGCAUUGUGCAGACAGAUAAUGAGAUUCUGAAAGCGAGGCCACUGAUGGGCCCUUGGAAGGGGGGCGUGCCUUCAAAAUUAUAUAUAUAUAUAUAUAUAUGUCAUUGAAAAUUGGAAGCAACUUUUCUUCUUAAGUUAUUUUAAUCGAAGAAGAAACAAAAAGUUAAAAACAUACAUUAUUCUUCCUUCUUACGAGGUUUCCGGGUCUAAAUUACUAUGGUCUCUGCAACUGGCGUCGUUUUCUCUCCCCUCUCUCUAUUUUCCCUUUAUUUUUUCACUUUUAGAAAGAAGCAUCCCAUCAAGAAUCUACUACAACCCUACGCUUCCAUUUUGAUUUAGAAAGUUAAAAAUAAGUUUAAGUUAAAAAAAAAUAUUUUCUUAUAUAAUUAUUUAAACUUAUUUCUUUUCCUUUUUAUAUAAAGAAACAAAUAUUUUGCAAAUAAAUAAAUUUCUAAUUAUUUUCAUUAACAUAAUAAUAAUAUUUUUCAUAUGACUUUAAUCACAAUUUUUUUUACCACUUGUCCAAGGCGGUGAGAGGUGAUAAAAUGUAUUAAAAAAACGAUUAAAUUGCAUUAGGUAUAGAAGUUUUGUGCUUCAAUUAUCACUUAUAAAAAUAAAAUAAAAAUAGUCAAAUUUGAGUGUGCAAGUUGGUAUUCGUAUGUAGAAGGAAUUGGGGGAUUUGGGGGUCCUAACAAAUUUGAUAUGAUUGAUGGAAGGAAAUGAUUAUUAUAGGAUAAAGUCCGAAUGAAACGCUGACGAGGGGGGAAAAACAACAGUGGCAAUGCACUAUCCACAGAUCCAUGAUUGAUUUAUGUUAGCAAUAAUGAAUUAUUUUGACUUUGAUAACCUUGGUUAAGAGAAUUUGGUCUUGUUAUUAUCAUUUUUUCAAAAAAAAAAAGUGUAGGUAACUAGGUAGUUGAUUUAUUAGAAUUUAGAAAUGAGGAUCCCCUCCUCCUGCAAGAGCCGUGACAGACAUGCCUGCUUUCUUGCCAGAUUAUACCAAUGUGCCCAAAUAAUCCCCCAUCUAUCAUCUCUGCACCCUGGAACACGUCACUCCCUCCUUUGAGCAAUAAAAUAUCUCUUUUAUUUUCUUUUGAACCACUCUUCUAUUUCUUUGUACCAGACUGGACCCAUUUAAAUUCUUCGCUACGCUGUUCCCAAGGACUACGAGAAUCAAAAUAGCAAAAUUCUUGAAUCAUUUUAAUGGGUUCAGAAACCACAUGUUUCUCUAGAUCAUAAGAGGAAAAUCUUUUUGGAUGGUGUUUGUGUUGUGUUGUGUUCAAUAUUAAAUACUCAAUUAAAUAAGCUAAAUCAAAUAUCACAUGAAAAAUAAUCAAAUUAAAAAUAGGGAGAAUUAUGUUUUGAGGGUAGAUGGACCCCAAAUUAACAAAAGGUUCAUGUAACUCUUCAAAUUGAGCCCAGACCCAAUGAAAAUAUGGAAAUUGAGUUGAAGUAUAUCAUCAUUCAGUAUUUCCAAAAAUGUCCUUUGUUGAUUUUGAGAAAAAAAUUAAUAUUUUUGAAAAAUAUUUUUAUGUAAUUUAAUAUUUUUUUAAAUACUUUUAUUUAAUUUAAUAUUUUUAAAAAAUAAAUUUAUUUAAUUUAAUAUUUUAAAAAAUAUUUAAUUUAAUAUAUUUUUUAAAUACUUUAAUUUAAUUUAAUAUUUUUGAAAAAAAUUUUAAUUUAAUAUUUUUGAAAAAAAAAUUAUUUAAUUUAAUAUUUUUUAAAACUAUUUUUAUUUAAUUUAGUAUUUUUGAAAAAAAAUUAUUUAACUUAAUUUUAUAAAAUAUUUUAUAUGUGUUCUUAAAGGGUAUAUUUGUCCGUUACUAUUUCAUAUCCUUCAACUCAAUUUAAAGAGUUAUAUGGACCUUUUGUUAAUUUGGGGACCCAUCUACCCUCAAAAGAUAAUUCUCCCUUAAAAAUAUAAAUUUAAAUAUGACAUAAUUAUUAAAUAUGUUAGAUCUUGUAUGAGUUUAUAAGAUUUAUGUUUCAAAAUAACAUGUUUAUAAUUCAUCUAUUGAUUUAUAAUCAAAUUUUAAAUAAAUUAAAGUUAUUCAAGUUAAUAAAUAUGAUUUAUGUUAUAAAGACUAACUAAAAAAUAAUUUAUUAAUUAAACGGAUCCUGGUCAAUAAAAAUUUGAUUUAAAUACGAUCAUACUUAAUCAAAACUUAGGUCAAAUUGUAUUGAUAAAUUACAUCAAAACCUUGUUGUGUUCAAUAUUUUAUAUUAAACUAUUUUUUAAUAAAAUUAUUUUUAUAAAUAUAAUAUUACAUCAUUUGGAGAAACAAAAUAGUAUUAUAUUGAUUUUACAUAUAAAGCAACCAGUUAACCCCUCAUUAUUUUGAUCCAUUUCACAUCCAUAUCAUUCUCAUAAUUUUUUUAUAAUAUAUUAACAUGAUGGACGGUAAUUGAGGGUAGAAAAAAAAGAUGAGAAGAAUAAAAUAAUGUGAAUCCUCUCUAAAUGUUACAUCUUCUGACAAAUGAAGUCUAUAGAAAUGUGUAAAAAAAAAAAAAACACUUAAUUGUGAGGUUCACUUGAUUUAGCAAAAAAUUAAUAUUUUAUUUGUUGUGUGAUUUAAAAAUAAUAUUUUAUUUUUAAAAAUAAAAAAUUAUUUUUAAAGUUUUUUAACACUAUUUUACUAUUGUUCUUUGAAAUAAUUUUUAAAAUUAAAAUGAAAUAACUAAUAAUUUUUAGAUAAUAAAUUAAAGUUGUUUUUAUUAGAUUUUAAAAAUAAAAGAAAAAUAUAAAACCAUUUGAUCAAAUUUUUUUAAACUUAUUUUUAAAAGGUUUUUUUUUUUUUUUUUUUUUUUCUAUCCUAAGUUAAAAGAUAAAAAAUAAUUUUUAAAGAUAGGUUACGAGCAAAUGCCACAAACUUUUUUCUUCUCUUUCCCUUGUUCGGAUAGAAGUGAAAAAUAUCCUCCCAUGGAUCGACAUUACGUGAGCCAUCACCAUUCCCCAACUGCAAUUCAACCGCCAAAGCUGAGGUGUCAUUAUUAGUUUGAACAAAAGUCAGCAUUGUCCACGUGGUGACAAGCGGAACUGACCCAACUUGCAAGGCAAAAAAAUAAAUAAAAUAAAAUGAAAAAAUCAGAUCACCAUUAUGACGUCAGUCCAAUUGCUGACCUGGCCGCCGUCCCCCAUUUGACCCACGUGUUCAUUUAACCCAUUCGCCGUAUGCCGUGGCUCCCCACCCAUAUGGCCAUAUCUGCCAUUUAUUUUAUCCGUUGCCUCCAUUCGGUUUUUGGAUUUUACCCAUUCGCCCUCGUCUAUUCCCAUUUCCGUAUUUGCCCACCAAGGAAAUUCAAUUCCCAUGCUUUUGUUUUACAUUCAAAUCCUCCCCCCUCUAUAUAAAGGAGGGAGUAGGGCUUGAAAGUUUCUCAAGCCAACAUGGACUGUUGAGAGUGAAAGACAGAGGAGCCACAAACAAAUAUCACUCACUCAAACCAAAGCCAAAACCAAUACCGAAUUCAAUUCAAAUGACUUCUUUCUCUCUCAUCAAUUCCCUGAAUUCCGAUUCCGAUUUCAAUUUGUUAUCGGAUUCUUUUUCCUGGGAAAACUCCCUACCUUUCAAUGAAAACGACUCCCAGGAGAUGCUCCUCCUGGGCAUGCUGGCCAGCUCCACUCAGGAAACCUCAGAAACAGUUUCUUUGAAUCGAGUGAAGGAGGAAGAAGUGACUUCCCAGGAAAAUCCCGAGAAGGAGAAGUCAUACAGAGGCGUUAGGAGGCGGCCAUGGGGGAAAUUCGCAGCAGAAAUAAGGGACUCGACCAGGCAUGGCAUAAGGGUGUGGCUGGGAACAUUUGACAGUGCAGAGGCAGCUGCUCUGGCCUAUGAUCAAGCUGCUUUUGCGAUGCGGGGCCCUGCGGCAGUCCUCAAUUUCCCGGUGGAAAGAGUGAAGGAAUCGAUGCAGGAGAUCAAGUGCAUCUUGGAGGAGGGGGGCUCACCAGUGGUGGCCCUCAAGAAGAGGCACUCUAUGCGGAGAAAAAGUCCUUGCAAGAAACAUAAAAGUGAAGAGGUGAGGUUAGAAAAUGUGGUAGUGCUGGAGGAUUUGGGUACUGAAUACUUGGAACAGCUCCUCACUUUCUCUGAGACCUCUAGUCCUUGAUCAUCAUCAUCCAUCACCUGGAUAGCUUCUUCUCUUUGCUCUGUUUCUUACUUUUCUCUCUCUCUCUCUCUCUCUCUCUCUUUUUUUUUUAUGUAAUUUUUCUUAAUGUAUUUUUGGAGAUGGCGGGGGUGUAGUGGUGGCAAUUAUCCAUCUAGAAUUUUUCAAAAGAUAUGUUCUUUUGUUUCUUUGUAUAAAGUUGAAAAGUGGGGAUCAAUUGUGAUGGUGCUCUAUGUUCAUCCACCCAAUUUAUAUAAUCAAGGUGAUUAAUGUUUUUUGAUAUCAACAAUUUGUGAAUGACAUAGAGAGAGAGAGAGAGAGAGACCUUAUUUUCUACACUCAUUACGGUGGUUUCCAUUUGGGGAAGGAAAAGGAAAUGGCUAAGAAUGUUACCAAAAGAAGUGGGGUGGCUUUCAUAUGCGUGGUGGCAUACUUGCAUACAAACUUUUCAAUUGUGUUCUGCAUGCCACUCGGGUCAAUUUCAUUUCUUUUACUCCUAGUAGCCUAAUUGGAUUUCCUUUUUCUCAUGAGACAUCAAAUAAAUUUCAUUUUUUUAUAUUUAAAUAGUUAGGUAAGUUUGAUAGUGAGUUAUAUUUUAUACAUUAAUUCAUCUUUUAGAAUGUUGUCUACAAUAUAAACAGUGUAAUUAAUUUCAUCAUUACAGAACAGUCAUCUUAUAAAAUAACAUAAAAAUUAUUGGAUCACUUGUAUGGCACCACUGAUUUGGACUUGGUAUGGCUCUGUUUGGCUUCAUAGAAAAAAUUUGGACCCAAUUUGAAUGUCUUGCAUAAAAAGAGAUACGUCCCACUUUGAAUGAUAUUGAAGAAAAAAAUUUCUGAUGAAGAAUAUAUUGUUGGCAGGGUCAUGCAGGCCAAUAGGGAAACGAUAAAUUCAGAAGAAUGAGUCCAAACCAGUGGGCUUGAAAAUUAAGAAGAGAAUUGCUGUAUAAAACAAUCAUUUCUUAAUCGAGUUCACUUUCUGAAUAAUCGUCACUUUGAGAAUGCAUACUUAGGAAGAUGAUGAUCCUUAAUGGGAAUAAUCAAAGGCAUCAAAAAAUUGUUCUGGAACAAUUCUUGAUUGUCUCCAGUAAAAUUCAAAGUCAAAAGUCAAAAGUCCAGUCGGUCAACACCAAACCAGGCCAGUCCAAAAGACAUUAAUUUGCAAUCUAGAAUCUAUGAUGAGGUGGCGAAAUCAAACCUUGGCUUUUCACCAGGGAAUGGUACUCUGAAUUUGGUCAGUUCACUGUUUCGAGUGAAUAGGGUGUAGUAAUUAGUAAAUCAUAUUUUAGAUUUGUGUCACAAGUUACAAGGGAUAUGGGCUGACGUUCAAUUUUGGCGACAAUUUGUGGGCCCGUAUAUUUGUUGAGAUGUGGAAAUUGGGUGUGUGCUUUUUUCUGCUACCACAUAAAUAUAUUUCUUUGAAUUGAAGAGUGUUUCAGACCAUUUUUUUUCAAGUCACAAAUGGACAACUGAUUGAGAUUGUAUUGGUGAGAGUAGGAGUUUAUUUUGGGCUGGUUGAGCGAAGUUGAAAGUCGAGUUGGACCUAACCCUUGAAUUCAGCAGACUACAGUCCGAUCCUGUAUUUUGGAUUUAGGGAACCUUCUUUCCCAGAAGCUUCGUCUGGGUUUUAAAGUCUAAAUGUGGCUACUCUUAAACAUUGGAGAAAGGAUGAGCGUUCACAAGCAAAUGGGUAAUUGUGGAUGGUUCAAGGACCUGGCCAGCUGGUCUUCAAGUUUGGAUGCCGGUUUGGGCCUGAGAGAGUCUUUGCAAAGUGACUUCACUUCAGCCUAUGAGAUCAAGAUAUCAUGGUGAUGUCCGAUCACUUAGGUUUCAUUUUCACCUCGGAUUACCGUUACCAUGUUCAUGAAUAAAAAUAAAUAAAUAAAUGAAGCCUUAUAGAGAAAUUAAUGAAGUGAGCUAUACAAGCAACUGGGCCAGGAGCCUACAAGGCAGAAAUUCCCUGCCCUAGACUAGGCCGAAUAAAUUAGAUGAAUGAAUUGGGGAAACCUGGGCCAGCCACACAUCCUCCUGAAGGCUGAUGUCGAACUCGCUUACGAGGAAUGGACAUGGGAGAUUGGGCUGGGACCAAAUAACCAAUUGACAGCCCUAUCCUUGUGGCAAGACGUCAGUAAAAUGGUUCAUUCUGAUUUUACGCUGCCAUUCAAUUUAAUUUUAAUUUUUGUUUAAAGCGAUGUACAAAUUGAAUGGUGUCUAGUCACUUAAAGAGUGGUUCAUAAUACACUUAAUUUAAACAAAAAAGAAAUUAUUAGAUAGGGGAUUCUCCAAUAAAAACCACCCCAUCUUGUCAGCAAGUCCGGAAACUUCCUUCACUUAGGGCGUAUUUGUUUUUUUAACUUUAAUAUUAAAGAAAGUUGGUUAAACCUUAUGACACUUUUAUAUUAUUUUAUGAAUUUUUUUUAAUUUUUAUUUUAAUGGAAUUUUAACUUUAAUACAAGUUGGAGUAAUUCUUAUCUUAAAAACAAAUCAAAAUUACUUUAAUUUUAUAUAGAAAUAAACUUACAGUAAAUUUACCAUGAAAAUUUCUAAGUCAAAUACACCAUAAGUGCUAGUAUUUUAUAAUAUUUAGAAACAUGUUAAAUUAUUAUUAUUAUUUUUUAAAAUUAUUAGUUUUCAUAUUAGUUUUAGGGAAACUUGUGCUUUAGGUCUUUUAUUUGCAAAUAAUAUGGUUUUCAAAUCCUAAGAAUAGAAAAUAUGAGAAUCAACUGUUAAUGUGGAAAAUAAUAUCAAUUUUGUGCAAUCUCUAUUGACUCAUUUUUUUGUGCCUAGAUUGCCUUCACCCACUUCCAUGUCAACAACCACAUUAAUAGAUUGUUUUUUUUUUAUAAAACAAAUAAUUAUUAUGUUUAAAAUUUUGGGGAAACUCUCUAUCUCUCUUACUUCUUCACUACAUCCGAGACCCAUCUUCCUUAAACGUUUGCCUCUCAUUUUGCCCUAACCCCAAAUCUCAUAAAUUUCUCAUUUUCUUGCCUCAUUUGAAAUAUGAAGAUGACCGAUUCUCAAACAUCUCUGUCUCUCUCUUCACGUUUUGACCAGUCUAAUUGGAAACCCAUUUUCCAAAAACCUUCUUUCUUUCAUUUUGCCCUAACCCCACUAUCUCCCUCUUCAAGACCUAAUCACCCAAACUCGAUAUCUAUCUUCCCAAAACCUUCAAGCAAACUGAACUAGACCCAUAUCUUCUUUUUUCAUCAUCAAAGGUGAAAUUUUUUUAAGGCUUUUGGAAACCGAAUUGGAGCUUUCCCUUCUUCUGGGAUUAAUCAUUCGCAAGUGAGUUUUCCAUUUAAGGCUUUGUUUGGCUGUUGAAAUCUUGGGAUCAAAGGUCUUUUAUUUUCAGGUUUCUUGUAUUUUGCUUUAUUUUCUUGUAUAUAACAAUAAUCAUUGUAACAUAUGCUAGUAGUUACCCUUGGUGCAACUUUACAUUUCCAAAUACCCUAAAGUCCAAAGCUUUUAAUUCCCUUUUCAAAGCUUUCAACUUUGAAAGCAGACUAAACCAUAAGAACUAUGAAACUUAUAUCUCUAUCACCACUAAUUAAGCAUGUCUAUGAAUCCUUCCACUUUAAGUCACUUAUUCUCAAACCAAGAAGGGCUCCUCUCAUUCUCACCCCACCUCAUCUAAAUGAGGGAAAUGAUCAAUUGCAGCCAUGCUUUGCACCAAAUUAGAGAAGUGAUCCUCCCAAUCAUCCAUUACCAAAAAUUGAUCAUGCUGAUGAGAUCAUAAGAGUCUAUUCGGAACUCCCAGUUUACUUGCCUCUUAUCUCAGGAUCCUCCAUUACCCCCUGUCUUUCCAACAUCAAAUCAACUUGCAAACAAUUCCUUUGUAGAUAAAAUGUUUUUAAUAUUGCAAAAGGGGACUUAUCAUAAUGGUUGAAUCGAUUUAUUUGAUAUAAUCACUCAAAUUCAAGCUUAAAAUUGAUCAUAAUAAAAUGUUUUUAAUAUUGUUAAAAGGAGAUUAUAAUGGUUUUAUUUGAUAUCAUUACUAAAAUUCAAGCUUUCAAACAUGCUCUACAAAGAAGUUCUAAAAGACUACAAGAAAGAGUUUCCACUAAAGAAAAACAAUGAAACCAUUUCUACUAAAGACAAACAAUGAAACCACAGAUGCUUUGUGAAAUAUGUACCCGCACAAUCCAACAAACUUUAGAAAUUCACAAACACUACCUAGAAUUUUUGCUGACCAGCAAAAAAUUUAUGCAAUUUAAUUCUUAUUGUUAUUAUUAUUUUCAAUGUGAACAAAUAUGAUUGAAUUAUGAAGUAUUUGGCCAGAAGAGGAUCUUGCCUAAUUAUAGUCAUUAAACAACCAUUUAUACCAUAGCCUCUAGACUUUAAAAAGUUUAUAAAACUCAAGGGCUUCCACCCAAUUUCUAGAUAUCUCCAUAACAUUCUUCUGACUAUUAGAAAGCAAUUACCACUUUAAUUUUUCAUUUCAUGAGUGUUCAAUUCAGAAAAAGACCAGGAUCGAACUUGCGAUCAUGCAGUCGAAAAUCCACCUGUGCAUGAAACUAUUGCCUCACGAUUGCAAACUCAAGUUGGAGUCCAGUAACAACUCUAGGUUUGCUGAUGUGCUCCAUUUGAAAUAAAGGAACUAAAGAAUACUUUAUAAAGAUUAAUUACCUUCAUAUUUUAGGUUGGGGUUAAGGCAAAAUGUGAUAGAUUGAGAGGAAGAAAAUAUAUCUUGUUCAGGAAGCCAAUAUUUUGGAGUUCACCUUUCCAUUCGAGUCCACUCUGCUAUAGCAAAAUCAGAGUCACAACUAUGCCUCUUUAAGCUAUCCUUUAAUUGGAUGAAUUGCAGAUUUGGUUGCUGAGAAAGUGGAUAAGAAAGAAAAAUGCAUACUGUAGCUUGAGAUUAAGAGUUUGUUUUCUAAAAUGAGAGAAAGGGAAAGAGAAAAAAUGCAUAUUGUAGCUUGAGAUUAAGGGUUUGUUUUCUAAAAUGAGAGAAAGGGGAAGAGAAAUGUUCGACAACUUUGAGAUGACAAAUUUUUAGAUUUGGAAAAUUUGAGAUGAGUCUCAGGUUUUUUUUUUUUUUUUUUUGUCUUUGUCUUUGUUUUUUUUUUUUUUUUUUGUUUUUUUCCCAAAAACAACCUGUUAAUGUGGUUGUUGACAUAGAAGUGGGUGAGGGCAAAAUGGGCAUAGAAAAAAGAGUCAACACAAAGUGCACAAAACCCAUAUUAUUUUCCACAUUAAUGACUGAUUCUCAUAUUUCUUGUUCUUGGGAUUUGAAAACCAUAUUAUUUGCAAAUGGACCUCCCAAAGCACAGGUUUCCCUUAGUUUUAUGUCUCCAUCUACAUUUUACAUAUAAAUAGAUUAUUUUAUAAAAUUUGUUUUGUAGAUAUAUUAGUUAAUAAUUAUAUAAUUAAUGAUAUAGAAAACAUAUAAAAAUCAUAUUUAAAAAAGAUAAUUACAUAUUCCUCAACAAUCCAUCCCAAGAAUUCGAGGUUGAGUUGAAAACAUGUAGAGUCUUUGAUGUUAUUAUAAUCAUAUCCAACACAUAUGAUUAUUGUUUAUGAGAUAUUAUUAGAAAGUUUGUCUUAAAAUAAUUGAUUUAUUACCCACCUUUAGCAAAUGCCCAUUUUUGCGUCUUUCAAAAUUUUCAUUUUUUUUUUGUUUAAAAGAAGUAUUGUAAAGAAUGAUGAAAUAAGAAAUUUGUUGAGAAAGUGUGAGUAAAUAAUUUUACAUAAAAAGAGAUUUAAUACUUGAUAAAUAAAAUAAUAAAAUCAUGAUUUCUAGUUGUAUAGGGCCGGGUGGAUGGAGUGGCUAAGAUGUAAUUCUUGAAAUAGAGGAGACAACAUCAAUGUAUAAAAGUUUAACAGAGAAGGAAAGUGUGUUUGAAUGACUUUAUUUUCUUCAUUUAAAGUUUUGACGAUGAGUGUUUAUACAAGAUAAAUUUUCAAAUGAUAGGACUCCUAUUUACAUGGAGUUUGUGAUAUACUAUGAUUAUACAAAUUUAAAAUUCAAACAGAUUCAUGAGUUGAUAGGAGUCUGCUCAAUACGCCCCUUCAAAAUGGUGGGAGAUAGCACACCAAUCUUGACUCGAAGGGCCUAAACUCGUGCAGAAGAUGAGGGCUUUGUUAGAGCAUCGACAAGUUGAUCCGUGGUUGACAUAUGGGACACCUUGAGCUCACCUGAUUAAACCUUGUUUCAAACAAAAUGAAAAUCAAUCGCCGAUGUGUUUCAUGGAGAGUGAAACAUGGGAUUUGCACAAAGAUAUGUUGCACCCACGUUAUCACAAGAGAUAGGAGGUGGUGAUAAAUUUGAAACACUAAGUUUUGAGAGAAGAGAAUUAACCCAAAGAACCUUUGAGGCUGUAGAGGCCACGACGUGAUAUUUCGCUUCAGUGGAAGAGCGUGCUAUGAACUUUUGUUUCCUCGAUGACCAAUACACAAGAUUGUGACCAAGAAAAACAAUGGGAGCAUUGGUGGAGGAUCUGACAUAAGGAUUCCUUGCCCAUUCAACAUUCGAAUAUGCAUGUAGAUUGAUGGGCGAUUUCUUAUGCAAGAACAGACCAUGCACCAUUGUGCCGACUAAGUAUCUAAGCAAUCUUUUAACACAAGACCAAUGUGUUGAUGUUGGAUGGUGCAUAAAUUGAGAUAAUUUAUUCAUCAAGAAGGUGAUGUCAGGGCUAGUAAGAGAGAAGUAUUGAAGGCUUCCAACAAUUGACAUAUAUUUAGUGGGACCAGGAAAAGAGGUGUCAUCACACAGAUUUGGAACAUUGUUGAGGAACAUCAAUGAUUGAACUGGUUUGGUAGCCACCAUUUGUGUUUUCUUAAGAAGCUCUCGAAUGUACUUGAGAUAAAAAUAAUCCUUUGGAAGUAUGUAUCAUUUCAACACCAAGAAUAAAAGAUGAAGUCCUGAGAUCCUUAAUGGAGAAUUUGACUGCUAAUUGAGAGAUCACGCGAGCACGAAAAACAUUAUUGUUACUUGUUAAAAUAAGAUCAUCAAUAUAAAUAAGUAGGUAAACAAUGAGACCACUCUUUUUAAAAAUGAAGAGGGAUGUCUCGGUUUAGGAGUUGACGAAGGCUAUUGAGAGGAGAAAUUGGCAAAGUUCAUGAUACCAUGAUCGUGGAGCUUGUUUAAAGCCAUAAAAAGCCUUACAAAGUUGGCAAAUGUGAUGAUGUGUGUAUUCGUGAACCCAGGAGGUUGAAUCAUGUAAACAUCUUCAUGAAGUGUCCUAUGCUAGAAUGCAUUAUUAAUGUCCAAUUCAUGAGUUGAUAGGAGUCUGCUCAAUACAAUGUGGGAGUGUGAUUUCAAAAUUAGGGUAAUUUCGAAAUGGAUUUUGUAUUCACAAGUUGAAUUUCAAAAUUAUUUUGAAAUGGUCUUUUAACUUUAAGCAGUUGUGUUCAAAAGGUCAUAACUUCUUCGUUUCAAUUUUGAUUUACACAUUGUUUAAAACAUUGGACUCUUUACUUCCCGAGCUUCAAAACGAUAUAUAGUAUGCUCAAAAAUGACAUCAGGAUUGGUUCAAAUUUCAUCUUGAUAUUAGAGUACAUGUUGUGAUUAGAUUUUGAGUUCCAAAUUUCCAUGUAAACUUGAUUGCAUUUGCUUCAAACCUCCUUCAUUAUGGUUGCUUGCCCUCUAUCUCACUUUGCAACAUUUGUUACUAGUAUUUUAUGUCCAUGACUUACUCAUUUCAACCUUUCUUGGAUUCUUCAUGGUUCACAAAUUAUGGAUUCUUCAUGGUUCACAAAUUGAGUCUUUCAAUUAUGCAUGUUUAACUCCUAUUUCCUUGGUUGAUAAUGACUUUUACACUUAUCAUUUUCUUUUAUUCUUUAAACCUGAAUUUAGACUUACAAAAAAAAGUUAGAUCCAUAACUAGGGUCUUAGCAUCAAUUUGAGUUAAGUUGGAUGAUUUGAAAAUUUUAUAUUACAUAAAUCAUAUCAUACAUGUGCCAUUGGAGUGCACAUUUUGGCUCUAAUCAUGUUCCAACCCAUUGUUUUACUCUUGCAUGAAGUAUGUGGCCAUUGAUUUUAAUUUUAUUUGCGAUUAGGUUCAAAAUGGUGCUUUUGUGUUGCUCAUGUGUCAUCAGAAGAUCAACUAAUGGAUUCUCUAACAAAACUACUACAUCAUAGUCAUUUUUUUUUUUCUUAAGACCAAGAUUGAGAUCUCCAAUCGGAGCCAACUCCAUCUUGGGGGCAUGUUAGUGAAAGAUAAAAUUUAUCUUUAAUUUAAAUAUUAAUAUUUAUCAGUUAUUAGUUUUAAUUAGAGUAAAAGAUAGAGUUUAAAUUGGAGUAGGAGAUAAACUUGUGUUUGAACUAGAAUAGAAGAUAAAGUAUAAAGAUUUAUGUUUGAAUUAGAAUAAAAUAUAAAGUUUGAAUUAGAGUAGAAGAUAAACUUGUUCUUUAUUUGUAUAUAAAUAUUCAUCAAUUCUUGAGAAGAAGAUUAUUUCAUAGUUUUUCUAUCUUCUUUUUUCUUCAUACAUAUCUGCAAGAAAUUGAAGAUUUCAAGUAAAAUAUUUUCUGUUUUAAAUAGUGAAAAAAGCUAGAAAUUCACUUUGUUAUCUCUUGGGGUAAAUUGACAAGGUUUAACGUUAAGAAGGUGAAUUAUUUUUUCAGAAAAACUGAAGUAGCUAGGAUAUCUGGCCAGUUGUGAUCGAUAAAAAAGUUGUAAAAUCUCUCAUAUACUAAACAGGUUUUGGAUGUUGGUAUGGUAAAUCCAUCUGCAGUCAUUCGUCAUCUCAUCUAGUGAGAUGUUUGGGAGGUGGUGACCGCCGGAUUGGGUUUCAUUUGGUUAAAUCUGUCAGUGGGUUGGCUACUACCCGAGCCUCUUGCUUUGGGGGAGGUGGGUUCUAGAUAUAAUGUUCAAACCAUUUUAGUUAUCAUAUGCAUGACAUGUAAGCAUAAUCUCUUUAUCACUUCUUCAAUGGGAGUUCAUGGUUAGGAAUUGACUUCUUUUCUUCUGGGAUGCUUGGCAUGUAAUGGACAAAGUUACUUUUAUAUCGAUCGAAUUUCUAGUAUUAUAGUGAAGACUUACCCUUUUGACAUUUUAUAUCGAAUUAUAGAAGAUGAAAGGGACAUACAUGCAAUCGACUGACGCUUUAGUGAAUAUGCUGAAAAUAUGCUGAUGCUGUGGAGAUCGUAUGAGGACAGAGGAAAAAGAUAGAAAUGGAUAUAUAAUUAGACCUAGGUUUUUAUUAAAUGAGAUGGGGAACAUAGAGUGAGGGAAAAUCAAAAUUUUUGGCUGCAGUUCACAUUGGUGAUAUUUUGGAUUGACAAAGACUAACGACUUUUCUAUUUUUCUUUUCGGCCUGACUGGAUAGUUGGACAUGGACAAUACAGAAUCCACAGAAGGAUUGUUGGGACCGCUGAAAAUUAGCUAGAAGAAGCUGAGGAAGUAGUCUACGUAGUCAAAUACCAAACACAAAGAAAGAAAGAAAUGGAUAUCAUGGAUGCCUAGAGUUAUACUCCUAAUACCGUCACAGGUAUUUUUCUUUCCUCCUUUUUUUUUCUACGAUAAUUAGAGCAUUUCUCCUCCUCCUCCUCCUCCUCCCCCCACCCCACCACCAAAAAAUAAAAAAAUAAAUUAUUGCAAGUAACACUUCAAAUAUUAAUUUAUACAUUCUAAAGUAUAUAUUCAUGAAAUAACUUGAGUAUCAUACAUUAGUUCUCAAAAAAAAAAAAAAAAAAAAAAAAAAAUUACUGGAAGAGAAAAGUUUAAGAAAACAUAAAAAUAUUCAACUACUAUUUUAAAGAGAAAAUUUAAUUUUUACACUAUAAAUUUGAAGAGAACUUUUACAUGCAUCUUAUAUAAACUACCAUUUUUUGCUAAAAGGCUUAAAUUUGUCAAAAAUACCCCUUAGGUGCUUAACGUUCUGGUCAUAAUAUAAUUGGCAUCUUUUCUCAAACAUAAGGCCUGUGUGUGGGAACAAGAUUUAAUGUUAAUGAGCUUCGCCACCGACAUUUAGUUCCAGAAAUCAUUAUUUUAAUAGAGUGGGCUCAAUUUACAACUUUAAUUAAACUCUAACCAACUGCAUUGUGAAAUGAAUAUGUUUCUUUCGUGGUGAAUCCAAUGAGUUGGGAGUCAAACUUUGCUUCAUUGUGUAUAGAUGAAAUGUUAAGACUCCAUGUAACCUCAAACAUUUCCGCAAUNNNNNNNNNNNNNNNNNNNNNNNNNNNNNNNNNNNNNNNNNNNNNNNNNNNNNNNNNNNNNNNNNNNNNNNNNNNNNNNNNNNNNNNNNNNNNNNNNNNNUUCUUUCGUGGUGAAUCCAAUGAGUUGGAGUCAAACUUGCUUCAUUGUGUAUAGAUGAAAUGUUAAGACUCCAUGUAACUCAAACAUUUCCGCAAUGAGCGGGAGUUCUAAAUUUAAUAAUUGAAAUUGUCAGUGGAACCAGUGGACAAGAGUUGGUUUGUGGUUGACAAACUUAUCCGUUUGAUCUUUACUUGAACAGUUCCAGUGUGUGGAUGGGUACUGAUGAAGUGUGCGCAUUUAUUUUGAGAAGCCUGCUUGUUCGCAUAGAUUUUAACGACAUGAACAUUGUGGUAAGGUUAGAGAGUAAUGCGAAUGUAGGAGCUUAUAUUAGAAAUGACACAAACACGUAAAUAGAAGUAAUCUAUAUAUGAUAUUACUCAUGGACUACAAGCAAAGAAGUACAAUACAUGGAGUAAGUGAUGAAAUGAGCAUUCCUCACUACUACUGCUUGACUGAUGGAACAUGAUGCACGAGAUAGCAUAAGUAGUAGUAGGAAGCAGCUCUUAUUUGUGGCGUCGGUAUACAUCAUACUAGGUAGAUGGUUCAAUUGGCAUGGAUGGGUGGUGGAGCCUUGAAGUGCUUGUGAUGGGGAGCCCACGGCUUCUUCUCAGGAGUUGGUGGCUUCUUGUAUGGAGUUGAUGGAGGUGUUUCUACUGGAGGGUGGCCAGGGUAGUGACCCUGGGGUGGUGAAGGUUCUUUUGUCGGUGGUGGCCUCACUAUUAUUGGCGGUAGAGUUGGUGGCUUGGGCGUUGGCGGUGGUCUCACUACUCUUGGGGGUAGAGUUGGUGUCUUGUGUUUUGGUGGUGGAGGUGGCUUAACAGGAGUUGGUGGCUUGUAUUCUGGGGGUGGUUUCUCCACCGGAGGUGGCUUAUAAACUGGAGUUGGUGGCUUGUAUUCUGGGGGUGGCUUCUCCACUGGUGGUGGCCUGUAAACAGGGGUUGGUGGCUUAUAUUCUGGGGGAGGCUUCUCCACUGGAGGCGACUUAUAAACAGGGGUUGGUGGCUUGUAUUCCGGGGGUGGCUUCUCUACGGGAGGUGGCCUGUAAACAGGGGUUGGUGGCUUCUCCACCGGAGGUGGCUUAUAAACGGGGGUUGGUGGCUUGUAUUCUGGGGGUGGUUUCCCCAGUGGUGGAGACUUGUAAACAGGAAGAGGUGGUUUGUGCUCAUAUGGGGGUGGCUUGUGGUCAUUAGCAAGUGAGGGAGUGGUGAGGACCACCAAUCCAAGGAACAACACGAGUGAGCAAGCAGAAGACAU